UGCCAUCUACAUCUCUGUGGGAUUAGUCAUCAUAGUGCUUGGUUUUCUUAUUGCGCUGACGGUGUUGUGUAAGCAGAAGAAACAAGGCAAAAAAUCCCCAAGAAUUACUCAAUCUGGACGUUCAGAUCAUGUCUCCACUGUGCUUUUGCCUUUGGAUACAAGAAAAGACAGUACUGAUGAGUCGCCGCACAUCUACGAUAAUGAUGACAGUGAAUAUCAGGAAAUUGGGGAGCCGUCGCACAAAAACAUGCACACCACCAUCACUAUAUAUUCCACAGCAGAGAGAUCUGAUUCAAUGAUCUACUCAACUGCAGAAGCACAAGCCGAUCCAAUUAUCUACUCCAUGGCAGAGAGACCCGAUGUAAUGAUCUACUCGACCGCAGAGAAAUCGUUCUGAAGUUUACAUCUGACCAGUCUGAAUACGUCAAGACUGUAUCUCAAAGUCGCUCCAUGGAGUGAGAGCUUCACACUCAGUCAAGAGACCAGCUGAUCCAAUGAUCUCCAUUUUUGGGUCAAAAGCGAGUGAAUGAUGUCGUUAUCAGACAAGGUUUUUAAAAUGAAAGUUAGAUGGAGGUUUUAAAGAGUAAAACAUACCUCCCUAACCUAAAACUUUAACCUAAACCUAACCAAUAGUGUCCUACAAGCAAAUGUACAAUUUGCAAAAGUACAUUUUCUAAAGCAACCGCUUCAUUUUGUGUUACUUCUUUCUUGUCACAUGUCAGCUUACUUGCUUGGCUGGGCUUAAACCUUGAUCUUCGAGUCCAGAGUCUGACACUCUAUAAGGUGAGCUACCACGGGAGCUAAAUACACAGGAAUCAGUGUUUACAGGAAAUGUAGGUGGGUCAAGCGUUAAAAUGUAUCGUUUUUCAAACAAUGCGUUAAUGUAAAAGUGUUUCGAUGUCAUAACAUAACAGUGUGUGAGUAAUAGAGUGAAAAAUAAGGGUUUUGAAAGUCACAAUCAGCCGUUGUACUCGUGAAUCGUGUGGAAGUGAGGAAAACGCACAGUUGUUGCAGCACCUCUAGUGUUCAUUUCACCAGGAAACUGCAGCGAAACGUAGACGCGGCAGCUAAAAAUCAGUUUGCAAAAAUGUUAUUAUAGCAAUGUUCAUUCUAUGAGACUAGGCUGCACCAAACACAAACACUGAUGCGAGUGAAAACACUGGAAUCCAGAAAAAGAAAACAGGUUUCCAUUAUGAAUCGUGGAACCGUGUUCAGGAAAAAAGGUGGAUAGAUGUAGGCCUACUAAAGACAUUUUACCAUUGGCCUUACCUAAGCUUGUUGUUCUUGUAUACUUAUUGUGAGGUUAGUGAAUUUAUUGCAGCUAGUAUUACAAUGUUGCAUUUACUACAAUAUUACUGUUCAACGAUAUUGUAUAUAUGACCUCCAUGUGUUAUGGUGUCAAGUUUCUGCCUUUAUUUUGGUGUAUGUUCCACAAUGUUUAGUGUCUCAGUCUCAUAUUAUUCAUAAAAAAGUGUUAAACAUUUGAAAUUAAAAACAUAUGUUCUAAGUUAUACUAUAUUGAUUAAAGAAGUUAUUUGUUUUAUUGUUUGUUGAUCUAUUUUAAAAAUCAGGUAGUGUCUCAUAUCUUAUCAGGUGACUUUGCAGGCAUCCAGCUCAACAUAUUUUUCAUAAUUAAGCAUACAAUAACGUUUAUUGCCAGGCAGCAUCCUUGACAUUACAGCGACUUACAGGAAAAGGCUAAAUUUUAACAACUGAAAGAGGCAAAAGCAUGUGCAGGAAAUAAACUUAGCUGAGAUUCAGAUAAGCAUAAAACAAAUACAAAAAAAAUAACACGUCCUUUAAAGCUUUGUGACAAAGGGCCUCUUUUGGGCGUUACAUCAGAAUAUCAACAGUAAAUGACUUCAGAUAAGAGCUUUUAGUGAUUCUGAUGUGAGAUCAGAGUGAAGAUCCUUUUUUUAUUCAAUCUUUCUGAUCAUGGAUCUUCUCGUGACAUUCGUCCUGUAACAGUGAAAACAGCAACAUCAAAGGAGCAUGACAUUAUGUACAAUAGUUCACCGUAACCUGGUCAGAACGAGAAAAGACAAGGUUUGUACUUUACCACUUGAGUUUUAUGCACCAUUUUUAUAGUUUUAAAAAUUUAUAGACCUGACUUGAAAUGCCUUUUUGGAUCAUUGAAUGAGUCUUCAUCAUGAACAAAGGACCAUCACAGGACUGGUGAUAGUAAAAGUGAACCUUCAGUUAUUGAAGCAGAAGAUAGUGGAAGAGGAAGUCUGUCUUGUUCAGCAGUUCAUGUAGUUGAGGCUACUGGGAAACAUCACACCAAACAGUGCAAUAAAGAAGGACUGAAUCUGCACAUAACGGAGAAGAUAAUUUAAUAAGAGAGAAGAAUGAACACCAUCUUGACUUUCACUCUGCUGAUGAUUCCUGGUGCUGUGACCUCCAUCAGUGUGACAGGAUAUUCAGAGGGUGGAGUCAUCAUCACAUGCAAAUAUGAGAAACAAUAUAGAACAAAUAUGAAGUAUUUUUGUAGAAGUAUUUGGUCAGGGUGCUCUGACCUUAUCAGAACUAACAUUAAAGAUGAAUGGGUGAAUGACGGAAGAUUUUCUCUGUAUGAUGACACAAGAGCAGCAGUCUUCACUGUGAUCAUCAGAGAUCUGAAUAAACAGGAUUCUGGAACAUACUAUUGUGGAUUUUAUGCACAUCUAUAUGCAUACACAGAAGUGAAUCUGAAAGUUAGAGAAGGUAUUCAAAGAAGGACUGUAACAGGAUAUUCAGGUGGAAACAUCAUUAUAAACUCCAAAUAUGAGAAGGAACACACGAACAGACUGAAAUAUAUCUGUAAAACAAAAACAACACAUCCAUGUUUUGAUCUGAUAUACAGUAAAAAUAGAUCAGAAUGGAGCCACAAUGACAGACUGUCUAUUCAUGAUGACAAAACUGCAGGACUCUUGCAAGUGUUUAUCAGAGAACUGAAUGUGGAAGAUUCUGGAAAAUAUCGAAUUAUAUUUCAGGUUUCUGAGGACUACAGUUUCUUCUCUGAACUGAACCUGGAUGUUAAAGAGGAUGAUUGUUGUGAGAAGGUCAUCAGUUUAUCAGCUACUUCAGGAGAAUCUGUGAACAUCAGCUGCAGAUAUCCACAAUCUCACUGGAGAGACAGCAAGUUUUUCUGCAGAAUAUCUGGAGCUGAUACGUGUGCUCAUGAGACAUCUGUGAAUGUGAACAGAAGAUGGACACAAGAGAGACAGUUGCAGCUGUAUGAUGACAGAGAAGUUCAUCUCCUGACUGUAAUCAUCAGUAAUGUGACUGAUUCAGCAGAAUACUGGUGUGGAGUUCAACCUCAUCAACAAUACAAGAUCUUCAUUACACGAGUCCAGCUCAAUGUUACUGUCAAGCUCGACAUAUCAGCAGUGUCUCCAUUAUCAUCAGACUCGUCUCUGAUCAUCAUUCUGUCUGUUGUUCUGGUUCUGAUCUUCAUUGGACUUUUAUUAAUGAUAGUGACUCUUUAUAAGAGGCAUCAGACUCGAGGUGCUGAUUCCUCAUCCAAAAGAGAAAAUGAAACGGUUUUUCAAACGGCUUGUGAUUACGAGGAGAUUAAAGACUUCAGACUUCACAAUGAUUCAGAUACAGGAAGAUCUGCUGAAUACAAUACUGCACAAAUACUCACAAACACUUCUGAUUCUGAUAACGCUCUUUACUCUACAGUGACUUUGACUUACGCAGUGGUGAACUUUCACAAGAAAUCUGAUUGUGUUGAUCGGAUCAGUUUUAGUAAUAAUCAGGAUUACAGUGAAUAUGCAACUGUCAGUCAGGCCAUUGUUUGAGGACACCACAACAGAAAAUGUUUGUUAUAGAUUAUCUCAUUGAAAAGGUCAUACAGGUGGACAAUUUGUAUUAUUGUAAAUAUUUAUAUGUAUUUAAAAUAUAAAGUUAUUUUAAACGUUUUCUAAGUUCUCAAUGGCAUACCACUAUACUCUUCUGUUCUUACCAAAACCGAGAGUUCAUGGCAAACUUGCCGCAAAUUCGCCACUGAUCAUUUUCACAUGCAAAUCAGCUUUGCGGUAAACAUGCGGUAAAUUGUCCAUUGUUACCAAAAGUUUGCCAGAGGUUCACCACUACUGGUGAAGAGCUGCAAACUUCUGGCAAACAUUUGCAGUGAACCACAAGCUCAUUUGCAUAUGAAAGUAAUGAGCAGUAAAUGUGUGGCAAGUUUGUGGCAAGUUUAGGUUUUUUGUAAGCUGUGGCUGAAAUAGUAAAGAGUAGUACAGUAGCAAUGUUGGUUAAGUUACUCAAAAAAGUAAUCCACUACAAAUUGCUAAAUGCUUCUCUAACGCUGUAAUCUGAUUACUGAUUACUUUAUUGAAAAGUAAUCACAUUACUAGUUACUUUACUUUUACGGUACUUUCUAAAACACUUCACAGAAAAGUUUUUUUUUCUCAAAUAAAAAUAAUGUUUUUCAUUGUUGCAUGUAAUUCAUACGAUUGUUUCUCCCUCUCAAUGACUCGUUAGGGGCGUAUGCCCUUCACAAAAACACAAACAGACAUACAUAUGGACAGAAUUUAGGUUUUAAAUCCAAAAUACAUAGUACUUCUUUAGAAAUGUGUAACCUAAGUAAAGUUCUUAAAAUUAUUUACCUUAAUUGAAAGUUAGUAACUGUAAUCUGAUUACUAGAAUUUAAAAUGUAAUGUCUUACACUAAUUUUGACUAAAAAGUCAUUUGAUCACAGUAAAUAUUUUUUUUUAGUUAGAUUACACCCAUGUGAGCUGACGUGUGGUUGUUUAUGCAUAUAUCAGUCUAUGGCUUCUGUUACUGUAUGGUCGGGGACUCUUGACUGGCUCAAAUCUAUAAACAAAUAUUUUCUGUUACCUGUUUAGAAUCAGAACAAACCCGAUUCGCAAAUGAAUCACUCUUGUGAGUCAAUUCUUUUCAAUGAAUCGUUCAAACGGUAUUGGCAAAACUAUCUGAAUUGGUACCUGAUUCACUCUGAAUUAUUAAAGCGGUUUCCACUCAGACUGAAUCAUUUGGAGUGGUUUCUAACACCGUAACUGGAUAAUGAAUGACAUUACAUAAAUAUUCUUAGCCCCUGAUGUUUUCAAAUCCUAGACAUGCCUCUAAAAGGAAGCCUAACUAUUUUUAGUACUUCCUUCAUAUAGUCAUAGUCUUGUUAAUAAAUGAACUUGUUUUCUGCUUUUCACUCUCUCGUGUAGUCUCACUGAGUUUGUUUUUAGUAGGGUUCCAGCCCAGAUCACCAUAUUACAUUAAUUUAUAGUUGGCAUGAACAUGGAUCCUUAUUAGUGUAAUCUCAUUGCGGUGACACAUGCUAGACAACAUCUGAGCUGGUACGACAAUCGUUGUCUCUCAGCAGUACUUAUUCUAACAGAGACGGAGGAAGUGGAUCUCUCUCAAUUUCAACAGUUAAUGUAGAAGAUGGAACCAGGAAACACUUGUAACACAUCAAGAACUUGAGAACUUUGAUAAAUAAGGACUGAAUCUACAAAUAAGAGAAGAAUGAACAUCAUCUUGACUUUCACUCUGCUGAUGAUUCCUGGUGCUGUGACCUCCAUCAGUGUGACAGGAUAUUCAGAGGGUGGAGUCAUCAUCACAUGCAAAUAUGAGAAACAAUAUACAGAAAAUCAAAAGUAUUUUGUAGAGGUCAGUGGUCAAAGUGCUCUGACCUUAUCAGAACUAACAUUAAAGAUGAAUGGGUGAAUGACGGAAGAUUUUCUCUGUAUGAUGACACAAGAGCAGCAGUCUUCACUGUGAUCAUCAGAGAUCUGAAUAAACAGGAUUCUGGAACAUACUAUUGUGCAAUUGAUAUCUCUAAGAAAAAAGAUAUCAACACAGAAGUAAAUCUGACCGUUAAAGAAGGUGAGUAACUCAAACCUUCAAACUCGAGACAAUCUCCACAAUAUCAUCAUACUUACACUAAACAUUGACUGUAAUUACUGCAGUUACUGCAUCCGUACACCAUAAAAACCACAUAAAAAACAAUAACUGGGAAAACAUGAGACAAUUAUUUCUGCUAAUGUAAGAUUUGCAUUACAUUAUUUUUCUCUGUUUUAUCUUGUUUGUUGAUAAAUAUCAUUACAAAGCAAGUGACAUGAUGUUUGACUAGCAACAUGAAGUGUGUAGGGGGCACAAUUUACUGGCCUUAACGUGAAUAUUAAACCUAAUCAUGCAAAGAAUAUAUAGAAAAUAUUUCAUUCUUUUUUUCAUCACCAUUUUUGGGUUUGUGUAGGUCAUCAGAUCAGAACAGUAACACUAUAUUCAGGUGGAAACAUUAUUAUAAACUCCAAAUAUGAGAAGUGAAAUAUGUGUAAUAGUGGAACAUAUCAUCAAUAUGAAUGUCUCUUUGUGACACC